GACGAACGCUGGCGGCGUGCUUAACACAUGCAAGUCGAACGGUAAGGCCCUUCGGGGUACACGAGUGGCGAACGGGUGAGUAACACGUGGGUGAUCUGCCCUGCACUUCGGGAUAAGCCUGGGAAACUGGGUCUAAUACCGGAUAGGACUCCGGACUGCAUGGUCUGGGGUGGAAAGCUUUUGCGGUGUGGGAUGGGCCCGCGGCCUAUCAGCUUGUUGGUGGGGUGAUGGCCUACCAAGGCGACGACGGGUAGCCGGCCUGAGAGGGUGACCGGCCACCCUGGGAAUGGGAUACGGCCCAGACUCCUACGGGAGGCAGCAGUGGGGAAUAUUGCACAAUGGGCGCAAGCCUGAUGCAGCGACGCCGCGUGAGGGAUGACGGCCUUCGGGUUGUAAACCUCUUUCAGCACCGACGAAGCGCAAGUGACGGUAGGUGCAGAAGAAGGACCGGCCAACUACGUGCCAGCCGCCGCUGUAA
rnacentral:rRNA from 1 species